CCCUGUACAAGUAAGGCCCACAAUUUUUGCCUACCAAACAAACAGGGCUUACUAAAUAUUUUGAUUUUUUUUUGGGUUAAGAAUUUAGAUAUUUUGAUGAUGCUCUAUAAAAUGGGAUCAGAAACCCUAAAUUAUGCGACUACUUGAUCUUAUCAGAGCAGGAAGCGGCCGUUGUAGAUUGUGGAGGGCGAGUACCACCCCAACCUAGAUCAAUGAAGCGGAUGGCAGAGCUGUUCGAAACGUUGCCCCUACGGCCCUGUGGGUUUAGGUAGCGCUUCGCUUCAUCUUUAACAAUUCUUGUAUCUGUUUCGAGCUGGUUGGGGAAACUUUGCCAAACUAUGAUUCUCUCGGCCUCUUCCCUGCGAUGAUGACUGCCCGCGGUCGAAGCCCUUUUGUCCCUCUUCGCGAGGUGGGCGAUGACGUCCGCGCGGGCUCUACCAAACAAACGAAUCAAUUAAUAUUCCGUUUUCUACAUUAGGUUCUUAUGUUUGUUUCUCAUUUGAUUAUCUCAUUUCCUUUUCUUCAUUCUUCUCUGUUUGCUUGAAUGCAUUUUUUUUUUCUGGGUUUGCAAUACAUUACGAAUUCGUUGCUUUGAUAUUUGAUCAGUCAAUCGUACUAAUAUCUUAUCUGUAUGAUUUCACGUACUUAGAAGGUGCAAUUUUCUCGGUGUUUAAAGCUUUUGGGGUUGUAGAUUUGUUGUGCAAUUUUGCAGGAAAAGAAGUCACUGGUGUGGUCUGUUUUGAGGUGAUAGUAUCCGACUUCCAAAGAUCCUAUUGGGAUUGGACCUGAAGCGAGUUACCAAAUAACUAAAUGGUGGGUGACUUUGAUGUGUCUGGGUAGUUGUGCACCAUUACGUUUAGUGUUUAUUGAAUCUUUAGUGGGACUUGAAUUGUGUAAGUGAAUGCCAGUGCCGCUGGAGACUUUCUUUACUCUUCACAUAUGUAGAACUCUUGUGUCAAAGCAGUGGCCGGUAUCAGCCUGCAACAGCAGAAAUGGAAUUGGAUUUUUUGUUCAAACCUUGUAGAAAGUUUCUUUCAGUUUUUAUAUUUUUUUUUUGGAUGAUUUAGGGAGAAAAUGAUCAGGAAGCAAGGUUUUGUGCGUCUUUAUUUUUAACAUUUGGUUUGAAUGUAACAAGUUCGAUUAUUGUGGAGCAUAUUCUCUCAAA